UAGAGUUGACAAUAAUACCUCUUAAGGUGCUUGAGUGUUCCCAUCGCGGAUGUGAUGGUUUAAACUUGGGAGUCCAUCUUAAAAGACGUCACUCUA
rnacentral:sRNA from 12 species